rnacentral:rRNA from 1 species
GACGAACGCUGGCGGCGUGCUUAACACAUGCAAGUCGAGCGGUAAGGCCCUUUCGGGGUACGACGAGCGGCGAACGGGUGAGUAACACGUGGGUGACCUGCCCUCAGCUCUGGGAUAAGCCUGGGAAACCGGGUCUAAUACUGGAUAUGACUCCAUGACGCAUGUUGUGGGGUGGAAAGCCUUGUGCGGCUGAGGAUGGGCCCGCGGCCUAUCAGCUUGUUGGUGGGGUGAGGCCUACCAAGGCGACGACGGGUAGCCGGCCUGAGAGGGCGACCGGCCACACUGGGACUGAGACCCGGCCCAGACUCCUACGGGAGGCAGCAGUGGGGAAUCUUGCGCAAUGGGCGAAAGCCUGACGCAGCGACGCCGCGUGAGGGAUGACGGCCU